rnacentral:rRNA from 1 species
UACGGAGGAGGCAAGCGUUAUCCGGAAUGAUUGGGCGUAAAGCGUCCGUAGGUGGUUUUUCUAGUCGGCUGUUAAAGAGCAAAGCUCAACUUUGUAAAGGCAGUGGAAACUGAAAGACUAGAGAGCCGUAGGGGUAGAGGGAAUUCCCGGUGUAGCGGUGAAAUGCGUAGAGAUCGGGAAGAACACCGGUGGCGAAAGCGCUCUACUGGGCGGCAUCUGGCACUCACAGGGCGAAAGCUAGGGGAGCGAAUGGG